CCUACGGGAGGCAGCAGUGGGGAAUAUUGCACAAUGGGCGGAACCCUGAUCCAGCGACGCCGCGUGAGUGAAGAAGUACUUCGGUAUGUAAAGCUCUAUCAGCAGGGACGAAAGUAAUGACGGUACCUUACUAAGAAGCCCCGGCUAACUACGUGCCAGCAGCCGCGGUAAUACGUAGGGGGCAAGCGUUAUCCGGAUUUACUGGGUGUAAAGGCAGCGUAGACGGUGAUGUAAGUCUGAAGUGAAAGGCGGGGGCCCAACCCCCGGACUGCUUUGGAAACUGUAUGGCUGGAGUGCAGGAGAGGUAAGUGGAAUGCCAAGUGUAGCGGUGAAAUGCGUAGAUAUUAGGAGGAACACCAGUGGCGAAGGCGGCUUACUGGACUGUAACUGACGUUGAGGCUCGAAAGCGUGGGGAGCAAACAGGAUUAGAUACCCCAGUAGUC
rnacentral:rRNA from 1 species